CCUGUCCCUUUGCUGCCGUGGCCAGUGGGGCUGUGUGGGUGCACCAUGCCCCUGGGGCCCCUGAGACACUUCAUGGCUCCAAGAGGCCACCAAGACUCACCAGACUGUGUCCAGUUAAAAAUCUUCAGAUAGCUCAAGGCGCUCAUGUUUUCAGCGUGCUGAAGGCAAUUAGAGAGGAGCGGAGCUGGCAAGACCAGGGACAACGCUGGAGAAGCUGCGACUAUGGAGCUGUAAUAACAAUUUAGAUUCUAUUUAGAUACAA